rnacentral:lncRNA from 1 species
GGGCACGAGCAUCACCUGUUCCAGGAGCGACUGCUAUUGCUUCCACAUUCUCUCGCCAGUGAAGUCCUGCUGAUAGACUGUACUUGUCUCCUCGCCCUGCACUACUACUGGUUCUGCACUCCUGUUCUCAAUUGUGGUCCACAAGCGUACCCAACGCGCUGUUGCACGACUCUACGAUCUGCGCUCCAAAAGAUUACUUCGGGCACGAGCAUCACCUGUUCCAGGAGCGACUGCUAUUGCUUCUACAUUCUCUCGCCAGUGACGUCCUGCUGAUAGACUGUACUUGUCUCCUCGCCCUGCACUACUACUGGUUCUGCACUCCUGUUCUCAAUUGUGGUCCACAAGCGUACCCAAGGCGCUGUUGCACGACUCUACGAUCUGUGCUCCAAAAG